AUUGAACGCUGGCGGCAUGCCUUACACAUGCAAGUCGAACGGUAACAGGUCUUCGGGUGCUGACGAGUGGCGAACGGGUGAGUAAUACAUCGGAACGUGCCCAGACGUGGGGGAUAACUAGGCGAAAGCUUUGCUAAUACCGCAUACGAUCUAAGGAUGAAAGCAGGGGACCGCAAGGCCUUGCGCGUUUGGAGCGGCCGAUGGCAGAUUAGGUAGUUGGUGGGAUAAAAGCUUACCAAGCCGACGAUCUGUAGCUGGUCUGAGAGGACGACCAGCCACACUGGGACUGAGACACGGCCCAGACUCCUACGGGAGGCAGCAGUGGGGAAUUUUGGACAAUGGGCGAAAGCCUGAUCCAGCAAUGCCGCGUGCAGGAUGAAGGCCUUCGGGUUGUAAACUGCUUUUGUACGGAACGAAAAGGCUCUGGCUAAUACCUGGGGCACAUGACGGUACCGUAAGAAUAAGCACCGGCUAACUACGUG
rnacentral:rRNA from 1 species